rnacentral:rRNA from 1 species
UACAGAGACCUCAAGCGUUAUCCGGAAUCAUUGGGCGUAAAGCGUACCGAUAGGUGGUUGAAAUAGUCUUGGGUAAAAGCCAGAAGCUCAACUUCUGAGUUUGCUUAAGAUACUUUUCGACUAGAGGGGCAAAUAGGAAGCUGGAACGAACGGUGUAGUAGUGAAAUGCGUUGAUAUCGUUCGGAACACCGAAAGCGAAGGCAGGCUUCUGGGUGCCACCUGACACUGCUAGGACGAAAGCGUGGGGAGCGAAUGGG